UACGGGAGGCAGCAGUGGGGAAUUUUGGACAAUGGGGGAAACCCUGAUCCAGCAAUGCCGCGUGAGUGAAGAAGGCCUUCGGGUUGUAAAGCUCUUUUGUCAGGGAAGAAACACCGGCUCUAACACAGUCCGGGAAUGACGGUACCUGAAGAAUAAGCACCGGCUAACUACGUGCCAGCAGCCGCGGUAAUACGUAGGGUGCGAGCGUUAAUCGGAAUUACUGGGCGUAAAGCGUGCGCAGGCGGUUAUACAAGACAGGCGUGAAAUCCCCGGGCUUAACCUGGGAAUGGCGCCUGUGACUGUAUAGCUAGAGUGUGUCAGAGGGGGGUAGAAUUCCACGUGUAGCAGUGAAAUGCGUAGAUAUGUGGAGGAAUACCAAUGGCGAAGGCAGCCCCCUGGGAUAACACUGACGCUCAUGCACGAAAGCGUGGGGAGCAAACAGGAUUAGAUACCCUGGUAGUCCACGCCCUAAACGAUGCUGACUAGUUGUUCGGGAUUUACAUCCUGAGUAACGUAGCUAACGCG
rnacentral:rRNA from 1 species